rnacentral:rRNA from 1 species
AUUGAACGCUGGCGGCAGGCCUAACACAUGCAAGUCGAGCGGAUGAAGGGAGCUUGCUCCUGGAUUCAGCGGCGGACGGGUGAGUAAUGCCUAGGAAUCUGCCUGGUAGUGGGGGAUAACGUCCGGAAACGGGCGCUAAUACCGCAUACGUCCUGAGGGAGAAAGUGGGGGUUCUCCGGCCUCCCGGCAACAGGUGAACCCUAGGUCGGAUUAGCUAGUUGGUGGGUAAAGGCCUACCAAGGCGACGAUCCGUAACUGGUCUGAGAGGAUGAUCAGUCACACUGGAACUGAGACACGGUCCAGACUCCUACGGGAGGCAGCAGUGGGGAAUAUUGGACAAUGGGCGAAAGCCUGAUCCAGCCAUGCCGCGUGUGUGAAGAAGGUCUUCGGAUUGUAAAGCACUUUAAGUUGGGAGGAAGGGCAGUAAGUUAAUACCUUGCUGUUUUGACGUUACCAACAGAAUAAGCACCGGCUAACUUCGUG